UUUUCUCCACAGUAAGCUGCACCCUUGCAGCUCUUCAGUGAAAAGAAGAAUUUGCCUGCCUAAGAUGACACUUCAUGGGUCAAUGGACAAAUAUACACAUGUGAGAAACAUCAGACAUUUUCUCUAUAAACAGCACAAACAUGGAUCCACCCUCUGAGUGAUGAUAAAUGGUCAGUAUGUACAGUAUGGCACAAAGGGACAGUGAAGCUGGUUUACUGGGCCAGAUUUUCCAGCUCAUGAAUCAUCAUGUUUCUUUGUACAUGUAUGUAUCCAAGUGUGUCAGACAUUGUGUGUCUGCUUUUAUAAAAAGAGGUUUUCUCCAUCAGUCAGACAUCAGUCUCAUCUCGGACCAGGCUGGUGACACAGACGUGAUCUCUCUUCACCUACCGAACACAGACUCUAAGUUACAGCUAUGGCUCGCAUGGAACAGGCCAUUCAAAACAUUGUGGAUAUGUUUGUGGAGUAUGCUGAUGGCGAUGGCAAGUUAAACAAAGAGGAGUUAAGGAAGAUGAUGGAAAAAGAAAUUCAAAACCCUGAGAUUAAAGUAAGAGACUUUACAUGAUUAAGUAACAAUGUGCAUCCACAUCCAUAUUUAACACAUUCAUUCAGUUGACUUGGACAAGAUCAUGGAGAGGAUGGACAGGAACCGCGAUGGAGAGGUCAACUUCAAAGAGUUUGUUAAGUGUGUGGUUUUCAUGGCCAAAUGCCUCUACCGCAAGAAGACAGGGAGGUGCCAAGAAGAGGAAGACUAAGCAGAAGGCUGAUGGCCUGUGUGACACCGUCUACACUGACAACAGAAGCUACAGAGUGUGACUUUCAUAGUCUCUGUAAAUCGGUUUUCAACAUUAUGUCACCUUCAGUACAGGCUGAGGAAGAAUAAAAACUAUGAUGUUUAA